UACGUAGGUGACCAGCGUUGUCCGGAUUUACUGGGCGUAAAGAGCGCGCAGGCGGUCGUUCAAGUCGAGUGUGAAAGCCCCCGGCUCAACUGGGGAGGGUCAUUCGAUACUGAUCGACUCGAAGGCAGGAGAGGGAAGUGGAAUUCCCGGUGUAGUGGUGAGAUGCGUAGAUAUCGGGAGGAACACCAGUGGCGAAGGCGACUUCCUGGCCUGUUCUUGACGCUGAGGCGCGAAAGCUAGGGUAGCAAACGGG
rnacentral:rRNA from 1 species